AACGAACGCUGGCGGCGUGGAUUAGGCAUGCAAGUCGUACGCGAAAGGUUCCUUCGGGGGCCGAGUAGAGUGGCGAACUGGUGAGUACAAGGUGAAUAACGUGCCUCGAAGUGGGGGAUAACUUCGCGAAAGCGGAGCUAAUACCGCAUGGUCUUUCUUAUAUAACAGUGAGAAAGUAAAGCAGCAAUGCGCUUUGAGAUCGGUUCACCUCCCAUUAGCUAGUUGGUGGGGUAAUGGCCCACCAAGGCUUCGAUGGGUAGCUGGUCUGAGAGGAUGGUCAGCCACACUGGGACUGAGAUACGGCCCAGACUCCUACGGGGGGCAGCAGUCUAGAGGCUUCGACAAUGCCCGAAAGGGUGAUCGAGCGACGCCGCGUGCGGGAUGAAGGCCUUCGGGUUGUAAACUGCUUUU
rnacentral:rRNA from 1 species